CACCAGUUGCACGGGUAGCAAGGUAGCGUUGGUAACGUACGUAGCAGGUAAUAUCAUACACCAGGUGCACCGGUAGCAGGUAGCAGAAGAAGAAAUAAUGGACGAAAUCAGAGUCGAUUUGCCGCCUUCUUAUAGCAUUUACUUCAUGGUGGGAAUCAUUAACAAGAAGCUCGAUGUGGAUCAGUUCCAAAAAUGUCCAUUCUUGCCGCAGUGGGCUAUCGGGUUCUUGUCUCGGAUCGUUGAAACGGGGCAUCCAGGUAUUUAUUUAUAACCUUUCUGUUCUGAUUACAUUUCGAACUUUGCGUUUCUGUUUUUAUUGAAAUCAUUUUGUGGGCAUUUCAAUAUGUGUGUGUGUUUCUUUUGGGAUUCUUUCAAUUGUCUGUUUUUGGGUUGUUGUUCUAUUGGUCCUGUUCUCACGUAGCUGAGUAAUUGCAUAUGAAUUUGUAUGCUGGAACUAAAUAAGAUAUAUUAAAAUAUAUUUUAAA